AACUAAUUAAACAUCUUUUCUCGUAUAAUUUUGGAAAUAAGGUCCAAAAGUUUCUACCGAACUGCCGUAAAAAGUUUGACUGCGGGGAUUAUAUUAGAACAG
rnacentral:ncRNA from 2 species